UUUAGUAGAAUGGUUUAGACGAUCACCUUCAAUUUCUGAUGUGUUGCCAGAAUUGCGAGCUUGAAUGGUGAUUGUUUCGUCUCCCACACGGAGUGUGAGCUCACCCGUGCCAACAUCAAUAAUCAUUUUAGCAGUUGCUAAAAAGGGUCGUCCUAAAAUCAAUGGAGUGUUGCUAUCCUCCUCUAUGUCUAGAACAAUGAAGUCAACGGGAAAUAUAAAUUUAUCGAUUUUAACUAGCACAUCUUCAAUAAUACCCCUAGGAAAUAUAAUAUGUUUUAUUUGCUAAUUG
rnacentral:lncRNA from 1 species